AUUGAACGCUGGCGGCAGGCCUAACACAUGCAAGUCGAGCGAGCGGCGGACGGGUGAGUAAUGUCUGGGAAACUGCCUGAUGGAGGGGGAUACCUACUGGAACCGGUGGCUAAUACCCCAUACCAUCAUCUUUGCCCGGAUGGGAUUAGCUGGUAGGUGGGGUAAGGGCUCACCUAGGCGACGAUCCCUAGCUGUUCUGAGAGGAUGACCAGCCACACUGGAACUGAGACACGGUCCAGACUCCUACGGGAGGCAGCAGUGGGGAAUAUUGCACAAUGGGCGCAAGCCUGAUGCAGCCAUGCCGCGUGUAUGAAGAAGGCCUUCGGGUUGUAAAGUACUUUCAGCGGGGAGGCGUUACCCGCAGAAGAAGCACCGGCUAACUCCGUGCCAGCAGCCGCGGUAAUUC
rnacentral:rRNA from 1 species